GAUGAAGAAAGUAGCGAAAUGCGAUAAGUAAUGUGAAUUGCAGAAUUCAGUGAAUCAUCGAAUCUUUGAACGCACCUUGCGCCCUUUGGACAUUCCGAAGGGCAUGCCUGUUUGAGUAUCAUGAACACCUCAACUCUCACGGCUUGUCCGUGAUGAGCUUGGACUUUGGGGGUCUUGCCGGCCUGUGGUCGGCUCCUCUCAAAUGGAUCAGCUUGCCAGUGUUUGGUUGCAUCACAGGUGUGAUAACUAUCUGCGCUUGUGGUUUUCCAUCAGAUAACCUUCAGUGAUAUGGAGGUUCGCUGGAGCUCACAAAUGUCUCUCCUUAGUGAGGACAGCUCUUUGAACGUUUGAUCUCAAAUCAGGUAGGACUACCCGCUGAACUUAAGCAUAUCAAUAAGCGGAGGA
rnacentral:misc_RNA from 1 species